UGUAUGGCCAAGGGCGCCAUUUUGGAACACCAAAUGUAAACAAACACUCAAACCUCGUGUAAUCGAUGUACACCGUGAUGCUUGAUUGCGAUAUGCUUACCUCGUGUAUCGAUACAUUGUUCUCAAUCACCUCUUACACGGAAAUCCCGGUCGAAAUCCGUCUGAGCCAUCCACAACGAGGACGUCAAGUAUUUCGAAAACUCGAUUGACAGCCGAAGGAAGGAAGAGCAGCUUGCGGAUGCCAGAAUGUCCGGAUGAAUAAAAGAGACGGUCAUCUGUGCAGCAUCAAUGCAAAGAAAGACCAUAGAAGAGAAGCAAUGAGGAACAAGAGAAGAGCAACAAAACUGAUGUCCUGCUUGAGAUCCCUGGAUGAGUACUCCAGGUUGACAGUCUGGAAGGACCAGACAAGGGAGUCCUUAACAGAGAGCGCACCCCUUCAGAUAUCAGAGG